rnacentral:tRNA from 1 species
GCUGUGGCUCAGUGGUAGAGCAUCUGCUUGGCAUGCAGAAGGUUCCCAGUUCAAUCCCCAGCUUCUCCA